rnacentral:tRNA from 1 species
UCCCCUGUGGCUCAGUUGGUAGACCAUGGUGUUUGCAAUGCCAGGGUUGUGGGUUCGAUUCCCAGUAUGGGGA